GGGCCCGCACAAGCGGUGGAGUAUGUGGUUUAAUUCGAUGCAACGCGAAGAACCUUACCAGGGUUUGACAUCCUGCGAAUCUCUUGGAAACGAGAGAGUGCCUUCGGGAACGCAGUGACAGGUGGUGCAUGGCUGUCGUCAGCUCGUGUCGUGAGAUGUUGGGUUAAGUCCCGCAACGAGCGCAACCCACGUCUUUAGUUGCCAGCAUUUAGUUGGGCACUCUAGAGAGACUGCCGGUGAUAAACCCGGAGGAAGGUGUGGAUGACGUCAGUAGUCAUGCCAUUGCCUCAUCCUGGGCUACACACGUACUACAAUGCUACGGACAAAGGGCUGCAAGUUCGCGAGGACAAG
rnacentral:rRNA from 1 species